rnacentral:tRNA from 1 species
GGGGUUGUGGCUCAGCGGUAGAGCACUCGCCUAGCAUGCGUGAAGCCCUGGGUUCGAUUCUCAGAACCACA